rnacentral:rRNA from 1 species
AUGCAGGAGACCCCUGACACCACCGUGAAGCCUCUUUUCUGUGGCCAGCUGGAGCUUUCUGAACCCACCUGGAUGAUGCACCACAUGAGGCCAAUUAAGUGUGUGGCAUUUGAAGGAACCUUAACUGGAAGGCGUUUCUAUGGUUGUCCAGUGCAGCAGAGUGAAGGUGUUAACUGUGGUGUUAUUGAGUGGGUUGACAAGCCCUGGCAUCCAAUUCUUCAGAAUUGCUUGUCCAGGCUGUGGGACAUGUACCAUGAACAAAAUUGUGGCAGGGUAGUUGAUAAGCAGAAGUAUGAGAAGCAUUUGGCCAAGCUUAAGACUGAAAAUGACAAGCUGUGCAUUGAGUACACAAAGCUUGUCCAAGAUGUAUCCAAGAUGUUUGAUUGGUAG